rnacentral:rRNA from 1 species
AGAGUUUGAUCCUGGCUCAGGAUGAACGCUAGCUACAGGCUUAACACAUGCAAGUCGAGGGGCAGCAUGGUCUUAGCUUGCUAAGGCCGAUGGCGACCGGCGCACGGGUGAGUAACACGUAUCCAACCUGCCGUCUACUCUUGGACAGCCUUCUGAAAGGAAGAUUAAUACAAGAUGGCAUCAUGAGUCCGCAUGUUCACAUGAUUAAAGGUAUUCCGGUAGACGAUGGGGAUGCGUUCCAUUAGAUAGUAGGCGGGGUAACGGCCCACCUAGUCUUCGAUGGAUAGGGGUUCUGAGAGGAAGGUCCCCCACAUUGGAACUGAGACACGGUCCAAACUCCUACGGGAGGCAGCAGUGAGGAAUAUUGGUCAAUGGACGAGAGUCUGAACCAGCCAAGUAGCGUGAAGGAUGACUGCCCUAUGGGUUGUAAACUUCUUUUAUACGGGAAUAAAGUGAGCCACGUGUGCCUUUUUGUAUGUACCGUAUGAAUAAGGAUCGGCUAACUCCGUGCCAGCAGCCGCGGUAAUACGGAGGAUCCGAGCGUUAUCCGGAUUUAUUGGGUUUAAAGGGAGCGUAGGCGGACGCUUAAGUCAGUUGUGAAAGUUUGCGGCUCAACCGUAAAAUUGCAGUUGAUACUGGCUGUCUUGAGUACAGUAGAGGCAGGCGGAAUUCGUGGUGUAGCGGUGAAAUGCUUAGAUAUCACGAAGAACUCCGAUUGCGAAGGCAGCUUACUAACCUGUAACUGACAUUGAUGCUCGAAAGUGUGGGUAUCAAACAGGAUUAGAUACCCUGGUAGUCCACACGGUAAACGAUGAAUACUCGCUGUUUGCGAUAUACUGCAAGCGGCCAAGCGAAAGCGUUAAGUAUUCCACCUGGGGAGUACGCCGGCAACGGUGAAACUCAAAGGAAUUGACGGGGGCCCGCACAAGCGGAGGAACAUGUGGUUUAA